rnacentral:rRNA from 1 species
GGUUUGAGUAAAAAGAGUGACGAAUGGAGAACUAGGGUGCACUAAAGAGGACGGAGCCCCGAAAUGGCGGAGGAGAGACUUUGAAGCCCUAAUGUCCCGUGCGGCAACGCAGUGGGGGGGCCAGGGGAGUGAAACAUCCCAGUACCAGGCCCCCCACCCCCCCCCCCCCCAUAGCGGGGUGUUUGAGGGGGGGCACAGUAAAAAUCAAACGAGAUUCCGUAAGUAGCGGCGAGCGAAAGCGGACGAGCCCUUUCCGGCGGGCGAGUAGUGAUGGGAAGAUGGGUGUCCACACAUCCAAGGCUUAAUAAUUAGUGUCACACCGAAAGAGGGGAGUACUGUGAAGGAAAGUUGAAAGAGACUUGCGGCCGUGGGUUACGCCAGUGACCUACGGCCACUUGAAAAGACCUUGAAAUGAGUCACUUAAAGCAGUUGUAACACAACGUACCUUUUGUAUAAUGGGUCCACGAGAUAAAAUUUGGCAAACUUAAAGUGCAAUCUUUGAUUAAGAUUCCUGGCAAUCUUCCUUGGAAGACUCGCUAGGGAUCUCGCAGCGUACCCCGCAGGGGAUGGCUGGGGGGAUUGUUCUUGGCCCCCUAAGGUGUAGUGAAAGCAAGGCGCCGCGAUGGCGGCCCCCUCAGUCAAAUUUCCCGAAACCAAGUGAUCUAGCCAUGGGCAGUUUUUAGGAACGAACCGGUGGUUGUUGCAAAAAUCUCGGACGACCUGUGGUUAGGGGCGAAACGCCAAUCGAACUUGGAGAUAGCUGGUUUUCUGCGAAAACUAUUGAAGUAGUGCGUCCACAGUAAUGAGUCGAAUAAUCAAGAUUAUGACCCAAAAGGGGAGUGAUUAUUCGAUGAGAAUGGCUUGGAAUGUGGUAAAGCCCGACCCCCCGAAGCCGGGGGGUUAACUAUGAAGAAAAAAAGCAAGAGUAGGACAGACAGACUGUGGGCGAUAAGGUCGACAGUCAAAAGGGGAGAAGCCCUAACAAGAAGUUAAAGUCAUUAAUAAAAGAUUUAGUGUAAAAGAGAUAUUGGGUUUAGACAAUGAAGAAGUAGGCUUGGAGCCAGCCACCUUUGAGAGAUGACGUAGCAGUUCACUCAAGAAAUUAUUUUAUCUCGAAAAUUAUGGUGGCUGAAGUUGAACUGAAACUCUGGGGGAGAAAUAACAAACUUUCCGUUACCUCCUUCAGACAAGGGGGGAGAAAUAACAAACUUUCCGUUAUAUUUGCCCGGUAGCAGAACGUACUGUUAAUUGUUCAGUGAGAGCCCCGUACGGCAUCAGAAGUGAUAAUGUGGACAUGAGUAAAAAAUCAUAGGAUCACUCCCCCCCUGGUUUCCCAUAUUAAUUAUGGGGUUAAACAGCCCCUAAAAUCGCAGUCCCAAAGGUUGCGUUGAUGGGGGGCCAUGAGUAAUAGACGCACAAAGUGCCAGGAAAGAAUUAUUCAAGCCCUUCCCAGAAGGUAUCCUUCUGGCAAGGGUACUGUACUAAACUAACUAAAGUGGGGGAUAGUGAGGGGAUAAAUUUUCUUAAGGAACUCGGCAAAAUCCCAAUGGCCCACCAGGGCACAUAUUGGAACACGGGCCUCGACUGUUUACCAAAAACAUAGCCCUCGGCUAAUAUGAAAAUAGAUGUAUAGAGGGUGAUGCCUGCCCAAUGGUUGUAUCUAAAAGCGGUUGAUAAAAGUUGACCUCGUAAGGACAAUUGAAUGGCCGCGGUAACACUGACCGUGAUAAUGUAGCGUAAUCAAUAGCCAAUUAAUUGUUGGCCAGUAUGAAUGGCGCCACGAAGGCCCCACUGUCUUAAGGAAAUUCCCAGUGAAAUUGAAUUCGUAGUGAAGAUGCUACGUCCAAUUUGUUAGACGAAAAGACCCCGUUGAGCUUUACUGGAGCACUUACAUGGCCCCGGCCUUCCCAUGCCUGGGAACCGGCCGAAUUUAAAUGGGCGGCUUAGAUUAUGUGGCAGCCCCCCGCUUGGGGCAAAUGAAACACCACUCCCCCAUGUCAAAGGGGCUAACCCCCCCCCCUUGGGGGGACAGUGUAAGUAGGACAGUUUGGUUGGGGCGACCACCUUUUAAAAAGUAACGAAGGUGCGCUUAAGGUGCGCAAUUAAUGACUGAAGCCUGACUGCGAGGGGGACACCCCGAGCAGACACCCCAAAGCCCGCCCGAAAGGCGGCGGUGGGGUGGGCCAUAGUGACCCGUUAAUUUAGAGUGGAAUAGUUAACGAUCAACGAAUAAAAGUUACCACGGGGAUAACAGCGUAAUAUCGUUAGAGAGUUCACAUCGACGACGAUGUUUGCGACCUCGAUGUUGAAUUGCGGCAUCCUGGGGUGCAGCCGCUCCCAAGGGUUGGUCUGUUCGUCCAUUAAAGCCGUACAUGAUUUGAGUUAAAAGCGUGGUAACACAGCUUGGUUUCUAUCUACAAAUUGAAGAAACAUCGAUAUAACUAUCUUCUAGUACGAAAGGACCGAAGGAUUAGUGAUCCUCUUAUUUUUUAUAAGUUACGAUCAACCCAUUGACCUCAAGUAACCGGAGGUUGCAACAGAGGUCUCUCAGCUAAUCACUGACCGCUUCUAAAGUGGGAAAGUCAUAUCGAAAUGUUUGGGGCCCAUUAUAGGGGGGCUAAAACUAUAAAUCACGAGUCUAAGACUGUCCCUUAUAGGGGCGCAGCCUCAAGGCCCUGCAACCUUCGUUGAAGGUUCCAGUCUACGAAGUAGA